AAACAAAUAGGCGUAUAAAUCAUGACCUAAUUUACAUCAUACAACAUUUGUACAAAACCAACUGCCUUACCUGGUGAAAACUGUGCAUUCAUAUACAUGCGAACAUAACCAAAUUUGAAAAUUCAUCUCCAGAAUUGCAUCACAUGGUCUGAAAUGCAGUCUGAAUACCAGUAAGGGUGAUAGUGUAUAAUGGUUAAUAAUUAAGAGCAGCUUGCUCUAACGGUCACCUAUACCUAUGCAGGAUAGGAAAACUCGAUUUUCUGAAACUUUGUUAGGAAGAAGGUUUUUACUAACUUAUUUCAAACCUCUACCUUUGAGGUUGUUUGGAUUUUUAUUUUCUAGUGGAGACGGCCUUACAUAUUUUGCCCUGAAAAGAGCAAAACUUGACCCGAAAAUUAUACUUUUUGUAAGCGCUAACAAGCCAAAAAAAUAAUCGUGACUGGAAGAGCUAAAAUCAGGGCUUGAAAUUGCGACUCACUGGUUGCCAAUGCAAUCAAAAAUUGAGCACUGGCGACUAAAUUUUCAGAACUGGUCACCAGCUGGCGAUUCGUGUUUUGUCUGAUAACUAAAGAAAACCAUGACACCACUUUUAUUUUUAAAUCUUUAUAUUAGGAAA